AGUGAACGCUGGCGGUAGGCCUAACACAUGCAAGUCGAACGGCAGCACAGGAGAGCUUGCUCUCUGGGUGGCGAGUGGCGGACGGGUGAGGAAUACAUCGGAAUCUACUUUUUCGUGGGGGAUAACGUAGGGAAACUUACGCUAAUACCGCAUACGACCUACGGGUGAAAGCAGGGGAUCCUCGGACCUUGCGCGAUUGAAUGAGCCGAUGUCGGAUUAGCUAGUUGGCGGGGUAAAGGCCCACCAAGGCGACGGUCCGUAGCUGGUCUGAGAGGAUGAUCAGCCACACUGGAACGGAGACACGGUCCAGACUCCUACGGGAGGCAGCAGUGGGGAAUAUUGGACAAUGGGCGCAAGCCUGAUCCGGCCAUACCGCGUGGGUGAAGAAGGCCUUCGGGUUGUAAAGCCCUUUUGUUGGGAAAGAAAUCCAGCUGGUUAAUACCCGGUUGGGAUGACGGUACCCAAAGAAUAAGCACCGGCUAACUUCGUGCCAGCCGCCGCCGUAA
rnacentral:rRNA from 1 species